UAUGGAGCUUUAGACACCAGGCAGAUCACGUCAAGCAACCUUGAAUUAACAAGUAAAAACGCAGUGACCCCUAGCCCAUAUGUCUUUGGUUGGGGCGACCGCGGGGGAAAAUUAAGCCCCCAUGUGGACUGGGGGCACUGCCCCCACAGCCGAGAGCUACAGCUCUAAGCACCAGAAUAUCUGACCAAAUAUGAUCCGGCGAACGCCGAUCAACGGACCGAGUUACCCUA
rnacentral:rRNA from 1 species